GACGAGGGACCUAGCGUUGUUCGGAAUCACUGGGCGUAAAGCGUUUGUAGGCGGCUCCGUAAGUCGGGUGUGAAAUCCCACGGCUCAACCGUGGAGGUGCAUUCGAAACUGCAGAGCUUGAAUAUGGUAGAGGAGAGUAGAAUACCUGGUGUAGUGGUGAAAUACGUAGAUAUCAGGUGGAAUACCGGUGGCGAAGGCAGGUCUCUGGGCUGACACUGACGCUCAUGCACGAAAGCGUGGGGAGCAAACAGG
rnacentral:rRNA from 1 species